CCUCCGUUGUUCCGCCGUUUUUACUAUUGCGCCAUGGGCGAAAGCCUGACGCAGCGACGCCGCGUGAGGGAUGAAGGUCUUCGGAUCGUAAACCUCUGUCAGCAGGGAAGAACGGUCACUGUGCUAAUCAGCAGGGAAUUGACGGUACCUGCAAAGGAAGCACCGGCUAACUCCGUGCCAGCAGCCGCUGUAAUACGGAGGGUGCGAGCGUUAAUCGGAAUUACUGGGCGUAAAGCGCUCGUAGGCGGUAUGUCAAGUCAAGGGUGAAAUCCCCGCGCUCAACGUGGGAACUGCCUUUGAAACUGGCAAACUGGAGUGUGUGAGAGGAUAGUGGAAUUCCAGGUGUAGGAGUGAAAUCCGUAGAUAUCUGGAGGAACAUCAGUGGCGAAGGCGACUAUCUGGCACAUAACUGACGCUGAGGAGCGAAAGCGUGGGUAGCAAACAGGAUUAGAUACCCGUGUAGUC
rnacentral:rRNA from 1 species